rnacentral:lncRNA from 1 species
AUCAACUACAAGCAAAUUUUACAACGUACUGAACGAUGCCUAGGAUGCUCAAAAUUGUUAGGUUUGCAACUCAUGGAUUGAUGACUACGCCCAUCAAAGUCCUCAGUCUUCACUCUUCUUCUUCUUCUUUUUCUCUUUCUUCUUGCUAGGCUCUUUGGUUUCCUCUUCGGGUUCAGCAUGCUUUCUCUUUUUCUUCUUUUUUUCUCCUGCUUCACCUUCAUUUUGCAAUUCAUCAUUCUCGGCUGAGUGCUUCUUCUUUUUCUUCUUUUCCUUUUUCACCACCUCUUCACUUUCUGGUUCUGCAUCACCAACUAC